rnacentral:misc_RNA from 1 species
AACAAGUCCUCCAUUCUGGAAAAGAGUACAGAAUCGAACAGCAGUUUUUGAUUUUUUUUAAUUGCUUCUACAAUAAUUAAGAUAAGAUUAUUCAAGCAAAAAGCACAACUAAGAUUAAAGUUCAAUUCAAGACAAUUGAACAGUCUAAACUACCACGAAAGGAAACCCAAAAUCCUAACAAGUAACCAGAACUGAAGAGACCACCAUUUUGCUAACUUCACUGUAAUCAAAACUUGUUUCUGUACCAGUACACACCUUUGCUCUGAUCGCGAUCAUCUGGCUCGACGUAAACACACUCCUUUGCCUCCCUCCACAUUGCCUUGUAGAAAGGAGUCCCAUCGAAUUGGUAGUAUUCUCCCAAAAUUGGUUUUAUGGCUUUUGUUGCCUCCAUUGCAUUAUAAUGUGGCAUUGUUGAGAACAAAUGGUGUGCUACAUGAGUGUCCGUUAUAUUAUGGAACACCUUGUUCAAGAUUCCAUAAUCUCUAUCAACAGUUGCUAGAGCUCCUCUUAGCCAAUCCCAUUCAGAAGAAUCAUAAUGUGGCAAUGAAGGAUGAGUAUGCUGCAGGUAUGUGAUCAUCACAAGAAAUGCAUUCACAACCAACAAUGGCACUCCAUAAACACAAACAACCCAAGCAAGCCCCUUUGCUACAGCAAGACUGUAGAGACCAUAAGUGACUGCAAGAACACCAGCAUCAGAUAUACAUAUCUCAGUCCGCUCACGAUCAGUGUAGAUAGGGCCGUAUGGGUCAUAGUGGCAGGCAAAACGAUUAUAAGGCCUGCCUGAAACAUUGAAUGCCAGGUAUAGGGGCCAGCCAAGGGUAAGAGUGAUGAUAAGUGUAAGGACACGGCCUAGUGGGUUGUUAAGGUAUUUGGAGAACCAACGGAUGUUGGAUUUCUUCUUUGGGACAAAUACUUCAUCUCUUUCAAGGGAAGCUGUGUUAGAGUGAUGACGGCGGUGGCUAUGUUUCCAUGAAAAGUAAGGAACUAGCAGGCAGGAGUGGAGAAUGAGGCCUACUGUGUCAUCAAGCCAUUGAUAGUCACUGAAGGCAUGAUGCCCACACUCGUGUGCUAUAACCCAAACACCAGUUAAGACACAGCCUUGGAGGGACCAGUAAAUUGGCCAGGCCACAUAAGAGAGAGGCUGAGGGAGGAGGUGGAAGUAAUUGGUGGCAAUGUAAUAGAAGAUAGAGGCAAUGGUCAGGUCUUGAAUGACAUAAGAAAAUGAGCGGAGAACAGAACGCUCAAAACAAUGAGGGGGUAUAGCUUUCUUAAUCUGACCAAGAGUGAAUGGUGGCUUUGAGUAAGGAACUCGCUUCAAGACAUCAGAUUCCAACUGCUUAGGUGAAGGAGGAACAGACAUUCUGCCACCGGCACCCAUUGUUCCACAACCUGAACAUAAGAGUGGAAGAGUGAGUUACUUCAUGAUGGGAUUCAUAGUGACUGGCAUUAGUUUAGACGCCCAAAAUUGCUUAUUAGGAAAAAAGUACAAUUUUAGAUAUUGUUUAAAAAAGCUUCUUUAUUUUAGUAUUUUUAUAAUUAAAACUCACUGGAGGCUUCAACAUUUCCCAACUAACUGAACAAUUUCAACAUAAACAACCAACUUCCCACAGAAAACGUGUACUACUUUAACCAAAACAUGCUAAAUCCAACUCAAUGAACUAUCCAUUGAAUCUUACAGGCAUCAAGUUACAAGCAUAUGUGAUUUCUAAUUAAGCAUAAUGAUGUGAAAGACAUGCUUGCAUUUGUGACUAGAAACAGUUUUAUAUCUCCUUUUCUUUUCCCUGUGCAAUGCAAUAAGAGAAUGGCAUUCCUAUAAUCAUAGGUAGUAAUACAAUCUUAAAACUAGAUGCAGAAAGAAUAUAGUACAACGGCAGAAAAUUGAUAGUAUAAGAUUAGACACAAAUGUUCAUGUAAUGCUAAACAUGGUUGGUAAAACAAGUAUCAAAGUGUAUUAAUAUGCAAAAUCAUUUAAUAUGCAUCAUAGGCAUUCAUGCUUCAAAAUUCCCUUUUUCUAGAAGGAAAUAACAGAAACAACCAUAAAAUUCACGGUGCACCAGAAUACAGGUUCUUGACCAAUGGCCAUAUAACGAAAAUGCCAUGCUUGCUGGAAUGAAUGUGUAAAAUUAACAGCAAUACAUUUACACAGAAACCAGAAGGAAUUUGAAUAAAAGGCACAAGAGGAAAUGCCCAUGGACCAUGCCUAUCAAACGAUAAGUUUAGCAUAAAGCCAUAAAGCAAAAUCGCACAAUUCAUGUGGAAGUCUUUUUCUUUAUCAAACUUUUUCUUCGUGGUUGGUCAUUUGUUUCAUAUAUAAUAUAAAUGCCCACUUGACCUUGAGUCGGUAUACGAGUAGUAUUUAUAGUGACAAUGACAUUUAAAGACAAAUAAUAUAUAGAAUAAGAAAAUAUAAUAAGAAUCUGAACAGCAUUAAAAUUGAAGAGCUAGUGCAUGUAAAACAUUGUGUACUUGCUGUUAAUUCACAAUCCUAGGGUCCUUUAAACCCCUUUUAUUGAAAAAUCCCUAUGUAGUGGUGUUGCUCUACCUGCCAUUAAAUUCCCUUUUCAAUAGUACAAUAUCUUAACUUGCCUACACGUGACAGUUAACAUCAACCUCGCACUAUCACAGAUAAGCUCGGUAAAAUACAAACGGACGAAGUCCACAAGAAAAUGACAACUUAGUCUUUGCCAUCCGGGCAACAACUCGACGCUACCCUUCACCAAUACAACACGUACUUAGCGCUCGCAAGCCAAUUGUGCAGAAAAAUUGCCAAAAAAUUAGGUUAUACAUAAGAUGUGAAGCCUGGGAUAGAGGAGUCUUCUAAUAUAAGAUGCAUGCUUACAGUAGGACUCGUCCGCACGAGCGAGCCAAUCGUGGGCUAGUAAUCUGUUUUCAGCGCAUUCAUCUGCACAUGCUCACAUGUGCAGAAGAAUCAAUUGUGCAUUUUUUAAUUGACAUUUGAUGUAUAAGAGACUACAAUAAGGAGACCCUCUUUCGGCACAACAACGAUAAACCUACCAAGGGUCAACUUUCAACCAUUAUUCCACACCAUCAACCAUACAAAACACAUAAAGGCUGAAUGAACCAUUUGAAUUGACAGAUGACACCUAGCUCACCAAAAACACUAUGCAGUCGUCCUGACAUAAAUGACCAAGACCCAAAUUCAACUUCGUACAGCUAAUUAAAGGACGGAACAAACGGUGGGGCAACUGGAAAACGAAAGGAAAACGAAAGGAGGGCAACUGGGUCCUCCCAGAAAUCAUACCAGAUCAGACACCUCAUUUUCUGAAGCUAAUAAAAAUAUUUUAUUACAAAAAAUUUGAUAUGAUUCAUCCCCAAAUUUUAUUCAGGGACGAACAACAAUUAAUUUAACAGCAUCCCCCAUCUUGAGCUGCAACGACCCAUUUGAUUCUAGCGGAAGAAAUUAAUGUUUCUAAUAUAUGUUUGUUAGGUACAAAUGCAUAUUUAUGAAUAUCUUUUCAAUUUUUUUUUUGACCAUAAUAUCUUUUCAAUUUAAUUAGUAAUAAUUACAACAAUUGAAUUUGUCAUUCACAAAUUUACCGGCAACAGCUUCCGACUUUUUGUCAAACAAGAUCUGAUGUUUUAUUUAAAAUAUUCCUUAAAAAUAUAAAGAGAAAAAUACAAGAAACCAAUAAGGAAAUCCAGAGAAUCCAAAGAGAGAAAUUGCAUUAAAACAACUUAUAUCGUGUGUAGAUCGGUGGGAGGA